GCAGAGGACUUGGAUACAAAGUGGAAAAGUGGAACAGGGGGUAUGAAAGAGUUAUCUUUGCCCAGGGGUCAAACCUAUGAGAACCGCCCCUGCUAGUUUUAGACUCUGACCACAGAAAGAUAACAGGGGGAAUCUGGCCUCUGCACUGCCAUCGUCCCCUACCCUCUCUCCGCAGACUGAAUCACCCAGCACCUGGGUUUUUUUUUUCCUUUCACUCUGUGUUCUCACAAUCAGAAUACAUACUGUAUUUUCCAGCUGACCUACAAGUUAACAAAAAGACUUUCAGGGGAGAUGCCUGCCUACACGUGAUGAAAGGCUUCAGGCUCUGUGACUUACCAUGAUAAAAAGGCUCUGCAGGUGUAAAAGCUCCAUCUCCACUGCAGCUCCAUCAUGUGUGAAAUAGCCUCACUGUGUGUGCCUGCAUAGCUGCUUCUGAGCUGUUGGAGAAAACUUCGGAGCCAGCUCUACAGUUUCAGCCUCAGCUUUGGAUCUGCUCAUGCUACAUUGUAGAUGUAUGAGGACCCUUUGAACAAGGUACUCACGUCCGCUUUUAAUUAGCUAAUUUGUAUCCUGCUAAUGACCACUUAGUGCUGAAUGCAAUCCAGGCUAACUGUCCUACACUAUUUGCCUGGAAUCUGGAAUAGACUUUGUAGCCUUGUUGAACCCUAGUUGCCAUACAUGUGCCGAGUCUGUGCUAGAUUAAUUAAAGCUAGCUCAUGUAUGCCUGUGAGAAUUACAACCCUCUUGGAUGGCAGUAUAGGGUUUUUUCUUUAGAAUGUGGCUAGCUCAGGUGCUUUAAAUAAACUUUUUUUGCCUUCCAACCUUUUUUUUUUCCAGAGGGAAAAUUGGUUUAUAUCAUAUGAGGGCAUAACUUUUUACAUUAUGCUUAAUAUUUACCCACCUCCUGAGGUGUUGUGAGGAUUUUGAAAGUAAUAUUUAUACAGCAUUUUGCAGAUGAAAAGAAUUGCAUAAGUGAUAAUUAUUACCUACAUUUAUUUUCAUGCCUCAGUUGAAACAUCUUUUUGUCUAAGGUACUUAGUUUUUCUUCUGCUUCUUUUUCUUUUUUUAAUUAGUGUGUUAUUUAACUUUAUAUAAUAUUUUGGGAUAUAAUUCUGGAGAAGGCAGCUGCUAUACAGGUUAUAUUAUACUGUGUCAGAUGAUUCUUCUCUUUUUUUGUCUUUAAUCCCAUGAUGCUUUUACCAAUCCACUUUGCAACUAGAGGUUUAUUCAUAUCAGAAAAGAAAAAUAGUUUGACAGCUCAGAAAAUCAGCCAAGAUUCAGAAGGCCUAAAUUUGCUCCAUUCUGACACAGGUAUCUUGUCUGACACUGGGAAAAAUCACGUCGUUUCUUCAUGUCUCAGCUGGCCAUCUGUAAAGCAGAAAUGGUCUUUCCCUACUGUGUACCUGG